CCUGGAUUACCAGUUUUUCACAGUACAGAUAAAGAAAUUGACACUCGAAGUUGCAAGGUACAAGAUCAUGUGGCUAAUGGGUUAAAACACCAGAAUUUGGACAGAGCUUUGUGUUGCUUCAAAGACCAGGCCCUUUUCCUCACAUUACACUGCCUCUUGAGUUUGCCCAAAGGACCCUUUAUAUGACUAAGCAGGUUGUUAGUAAAAUACUUAAUGAAUCCAGGAGCAAAGCCAGAUCUGAAUGACUAAACAGUGACCACUCAACAAACAGCCCACCUGGCACACUUGGCACAGCCGGCAUGGCAAAAUGUACAAAAUGUUCACUUUAAACUAACAGAUUAUCCUGAAGACAGCUGCAGUAACAAUCAACUUCUCACCACUUGAAGUUCUUGGAAAUACAGUUUAUGAUGGAGUCUCUGAGCACUAAACUAAGUCAAAGUUUAUCAGUUUUUAUUAAUGCAGAUGAUCAAGCCUGAUAACUCAGAAUGACUUUUUUUUUUUUUUUUACUAAUUUUGCUUGCUUGAUUGUUUUUAGGACAUUCUUUCAAUCUAUUACUUCUAAACAGCAUGACAAGUCUUAGCAACUAAUGGUUAAUUUGGCCAGUGCAAACAACCAACUUGGAUAAGAAUACUGAAUUGACAGCCAGAAAGUAAAUCAAGGUCAAAUUCAAAGCUACAUUCCAAGAUUGUUAGGCCAUGCUAAAACUAACCAAAAGUCUUGAGAAAUUUAUCGAGAGUUUCCAUCCCUGCCCAACGAUGGCAGCUGCAAUGUGCUGAAUAAUGACCCUAAAAUAUGCCUGGAAUCCAAAAAUGUUGCCUUAUUUGGAAAAACAGUCUUAAGACGGAAGAUUACCCUGAAUGAUCUGGGUGGGUCCCAAAUGCAAUCACAAGCUAGGCAAAGGGUGAUCUGACCCAGAGAGAAUGUGAUGUGAAGACAGAUAGCACAGAGAGCCUUGAGGAUGCUGGCUUUGUAGCUUAGAGCCACACAGCCACAAGUUCAGGAAUGUUGGAAGCCAUCAGAUGCUAGAAAAAGGCAAGGAACAGAUUCUCUCAUAGAACCCUCUCCCGAGGGAGAGUGGCCCUGCUGACCCUUUGAUUUUAUCCCAGGGAGACCGAUUUCAGGCUCUGGCCACCAGAACAGUGAGAGGAUAAACCACCCAGCUUGUGGUAGUAAUUUGUUAUAGUAGCCACAGGAAAC